UGGUGGAGCGCACAAUUGGUGUCCUGAAAGGGCGCUUUCGUGUGCUCCACCGCACGGGUGGCGACAUCAUGUAUUCGCCGGAGAUGGCAAGUAAAAUAGUGGUCCUGUGCGCAAUACUCCAUAAUAUCGCGGUAAGGAGUAGUGUCGAGCUUCCUCAGGCAGAGGAAUUGCCUGAUGAGGAGCCAGGGGUUGUGCCACGCUUCGGUGGGGGGAGUGUGACACGGAGGGGGAGCCAAGUGAGGGCAAGAAUUGUAGCAGAACAUUUCAGGUAUAGUGUUUUUAACAUUUAUAUUUGCACAAAUAAUACAACCCAGUAUGCUUAUGUAUUUUUAAACAUGAUUGCAUUUAGUAUGUUCUUGUAAAGUGAUUGGGUAAUGCUGUUGUUGUGUUUGAAUGGUUUUUUCUUUUUAAACACAAAAAACAAAAACACGUUAAGCUGACAAUGUUUAUGUAAUAAUUUAAAUACUGUAAUGAUAAUAAAUAGUGUCCUUAUUUAUUUUAUAUCCUCAAAUACUGAUUAUGUAAACAAACACACAAACAAAUGAUCCUCAAUGUUUGACACUUUGUGACUGUCCAGCUGAAUGAUCACACGACCUGUGGACAACAACAACGGCACAACUCCCCACCCCCUUCCCCUUCCCACUCCCCCUCCCCUUCUCACUCCCCCUCCCCUUCACACUCCCCCUCAGCUUUCCAGUCCCCCUCAUCUUCACAGUCCCCCUCAGCUUCCCAGUCCCCCUCAGCUUCCCUGGCCCACUCCACUUUCCAUUCCCCUUCUCACCACACCUCGCCAUCUCUUUCUGGGACCCCUUCUCCUCCUUCCCAUACCCCUUCUCCUUCCACUUCGACAUCCCCAUCUGAACCCCCCUCACCCUCUAUUGCUUUAAAUUUCUCUCCGCCCCCCUCGCCCUCUCAAUCAGACCCCCCCUCUGAAAUUGCGGCACUAAUCCAGCCUCCUUCCCCCAUCCAGCCUCCUUCCCCAAUCCCUCCUCCUUCCCCAAUCCCUCCUCCUUCCCCAAUCCCUCAUCCUUCCCCCAUCCAGCCGCCUUCCCCCAUCCAGGCAACAUCCCCACCAAGUGAAUGGGCAGAGGAAGCCCCUGCAGAACAUUCCGGGAGUCUGGAUGUUUCCGAGGAAAAUGUUGCAGUUGGAGAUCCCACAAGUUUUUCAGGGAUACUUUACAUCAUGCGCCAACACCUGCAAGGAAUGAUGGAUUGCGUGGACCAUUUGCAAAAAUUUG